AUGCUCAGUCCAGCGUGGGUCUCUGGGGGGACUGGGACGCAGCAAUCAUGCUCAGUCCAGCGUGGGUCUCUGGGGGCACUGGGAUGCAGCAAUCAUGCUCAGUCCAGCGUGGGUCUCUGGGGGCACUGGGACGCAGCAAUCAUGCUCAGUCCAGCGUGGGUCUCUGGGGGCACUGGGAUGCAGCAAUCAUGCUCAGUCCAGCUUGGGUCUCUAGGGGCUACUGGGAUGCAGCAAUCAUGCUCAGUCCAGCGUGGGUCUCUAGGGGUUACUGGGAUGCAGCAAUCAUGCUCAGUCCAGCUUGGGUCUCUAGGGGCUACUGGGAUGCAGCAAUCAUGCUCAGUCCAGCUUGGGUCUCUAGGGGCUACUGGGAUGCAGCAAUCAUGCUCAGUCCAGCUUGGGUCUCUAGGGGCACUGGGACGCAGCAAUCAUGCUCAGUCCAGCGUGGGUCUCUGGGGGCACUGGGAUGCAGCAAUCAUGCUCAGUCCAGCGUGGGUCUCUGGGGGCACUGGGACACAGCAAUCAUGCUCAGUCCAGCGUGGGUCUCUGGGGGCACUGGGAUGCAGCAAUCAUGCUCAGUCCAGCGUGGGUCUCUGGGGGCACUGGGACGCAGCAAUCAUGCUCAGUCCAGCGUGGGUCUCUGGGGGCACUGGGACGCAGCAAUCAUGCUCAGUCCAGCUUGGGUCUCUAGGGGCUACUGGGAUGCAGCAAUCAUGCUCAGUCCAGCGUGGGUCUCUAGGGGCUACUGGGAUGCAGCAAUCAUGCUCAGUCCAGCGUGGGUCUCUAGGGGCUACUGGGAUGCAGCAAUCAUGCUCAGUCCAGCGUGGGUCUCUAGGGGCUACUGGGAUGCAGCAAUCAUGCUCAGUCCAGCUUGGGUCUCUAGGGGCUACUGGGAUGCAGCAAUCAUGCUCAGUCCAGCGUGGGUCUCUAGGGGCUACUGGGAUGCAGCAAUCAUGCUCAGUCCAGCUUGGGUCUCUAGGGGCACUGGGACGCAGCAAUCAUGCUCAGUCCAGCGUGGGUCUCUGGGGGCACUGGGACGCAGCAAUCAUGGUCAGUCCAGCGUGGGUCUCUGGGGGCACUGGGACGCAGCAAUCAUGCUCAGUCCAGCGUGGGUCUCUGGGGGCACUGGGACGCAGCAAUCAUGCUCAGUCCAGCGUGGGUCACUGGGGGCACUGGGACGCAGCAAUCAUGCUCAGUCCAGCGUGGGUCUCUGGGGGCACUGGGACGCAGCAAUCAUGCUCAGUCCAGCUUGGGUCUCUGGGGGCACUGGGACGCAGCAAUCAUGCUCAGUCCAGCGUGGGUCUCUGGGGGCACUGGGACGCAGCAAUCAUGNNNNNNNNNNNNNNNNNNNNCUAUUUGGGUCUGACCGAUGUUUUCUCGUGA
rnacentral:lncRNA from 1 species